rnacentral:lncRNA from 1 species
AUAGGGUUUCUUUAAGGCCAGACAGAAUCUUGGGAAAGUUGCUGGUUGGAAUUCUGGGUAGUCUGAGUCAGUUGGUUUUCCAACUGCCAAGGACUCCUGGAGGUUUUUUUUGUUUUUGUUUUUUUUUUCCCCCUAGGAAGAGGCAGGUAUUUCUAUUCCUUGGAACACUGAAAAAUCCAGUGGCAGGUGAAGGAGAAGAACAGUAGAGACAUGGCUGGUGGUAGCGUGCUGUGCAUCUUGGUGUCUUGGAAUCUUGGUGUGCUGGUAGCUCUUGUCUGGGCUUGGCAUGAACAUGCUAGUGUUGGAAUGCAUAAUUUAUUGAUCGUUUUACAGAUGGAGACAUGGAUAUUUCAAUAUAUUGAAAGGUUAUAUCUGAUUGAAAAAAACACAGAAAACAAAAUUACCUUCUGAAGAUCAGAAGUGGAGACCAGGAGAAGCUAGUUAAUGGGAGAAGGAAGCUGGAGAUUUGAGAGGAUGCUCUAGGUUGGAGGUUCCAGACACAAUUUAAAGAUUCAGGGUGAAAUCACAAUGUAGAUAGUUAGCAGAAUUCAGAAAGCCAAAAAUCUAUUAAACUUUGAUAGUUCAAAU